UGACACUUGGCCGUUGUCCUAUCAGACGAUUUACUUUAUAUUUACUUUUCUUCACAGAAGUGAAUCAAAUGCUGAGAUGCAUUUUUUUUUUUUACAUUUUCUAGCACACGUCGAAAUCAAGAAGACCUUGCGACCCCCAGGUUGGGAACCACUGCCUUAGAAUGAGCUGUUUUAUCCACAGAGCGAGCGGGUCCUCUUCUACGGAGUCUGCCAUGUUUCUACAGUAGCCCAGAGUGGACAGACUAAAUUAAUGUGUUGCCACCACUAUAAACUCCCCUACUAGCUCGCUUUAUAUGGUAAGGUAAAUGGACCUGUACUUGUAUAGCGCCUUUCUAGUCUCUUCGACAUGUGGCACCAGGAGCCGGGGAUCGAACCCACAACCUUCUGAUUAAGGAAUGACCCCCUCUGCCUCUGAGCCACCUAUGUUCUGUACAGUUCUGGUUUACAUGCACAAACACAAAGUUUCCUGUUGUCCCUUUGUCACGCUCUUUGUCACAUCUCCUAAAAUCAUAAACACAGGGAUGAGUCAUCUUUUGACAUCUUUUGGUACACUGCUGCGUCUGAGAGCAGUUUGAACCACUAGAGGGAGCCACAAGCUGGGAUUUCCUGCUGAUGUGCAAUGUGUUUGUGUGCACUUUACUACAAUUGUUCAUGUUUUGGGUGUUUUGAUGUAGUGUCUAUGUUGCAUACAUUUCUAUAUAUCUCCCUCUCUCUGCUCUGCUGAUCCAAUAGCUUCUAUUUUUAGAUGUCUACUCCUCUUCUCCCCUCUGCCGCACACUCUCACAUCCCCUUCUGUGUUUUCCGGUGCUGAUUUUCAUUAUCCAAUUCUCAAAGCCACAUUGACCAAAAUCAGUGAGCAAGGAUCAACACUGAGUGAAAGGAGGAGGAGGAGGAGGAGGAGGAAUAGGUGGAGGGUGGUGGGGGUCUUCUUAGGUUUCCUUGCAGCUCCCUGCAUUAGUAAUAGAGGUAGCUGCUGCUGUCGCUUGUGCAGAUGCUGGCUGCAAAACGUCCCCUUUGAUUUGAUUUGGUUUUCUUCCGUCCUCUUGAGGAAGAAAUGGAUUUUUGGUGUUUUUUGUUGCUUUUUUGUUGAGAAAACCUGUUGCAUCUCAAGAGGACUGACAGCAGCACAGGAAGGAUCUCACAUUUUGUUCUAGCACGAUGAAGAUGGCCACAGCUGUUAAGAUCCUCAUCAACCUGCUGCUGAUUCUACACUCUAGCAGAGGUGAGUGCCAUUGAAUAAGAAACAAACCAGACAUCUGAUCUUUUAAAAGCCUUUUUCAAGCAGUG
rnacentral:lncRNA from 15 species